rnacentral:rRNA from 1 species
UACGGGGGGGGCAAGCGUUGUUCGGAAUUACUGGGCGUAAAGGGCUCGUAGGCGGUCAACUAAGUCAGACGUGAAAUCCCCAGGCUUAACCUGGGAACUGCGUCUGAUACUGGAUGGCUUGAGAUUGGGAGAGGGAUGCGGAAUUCCAGGUGUAGCGGUGAAAUGCGUAGAUAUCUGGAGGAACACCGGUGGCGAAGGCGACAUCCUGGACCAACACUGACGCUGAGGAGCGAAAGCCAGGGGAGCAAACGGG